ACUUUAUUACACAAAAGCUCUGAGCGAUCAAGCCUCGUCUCUGGCCCCGGAUUGAAUUCUUCUCCUGCGGGGGCCAAGAAUCCCGGUGUCUUCGCGUGAUUCAAUAACAACCUUUCAUUUUGAGGGCUCAUCCGGGAUCCUUCAGGACAAGACAUCCAGGUUGUGGCCGCAUCCUGCUACUGGGAACAACGCUGCAGAACACAGGAGUGCAGAUACGUCUGUGAGGUCUUGGCUUCCUCUUCUUUGGAUACAUACCCCGGAGUGGAAUUGCUGGAUCAUAUGAUGAACUAGGAGGUGGGCAUCUCAUUUCAGGGAACUUGGGGCAUAAAACUGAGGUGCAGACGAUCCUAUGUGAUUGUAAUGAGAAGACACAUCUGGGCACGUGGGCCCAUCAGUGGGGGCAGGCUGCACCAGAC